rnacentral:lncRNA from 1 species
AUACUUGGGACAUACUGUGAGGAUGUUAUUAGCCAAAUGUCAGAAUUAGCCAAAUGCUUUCACAUCUUCCUGCAAUCUAGUCUUGUGUUUAUGAGAAUCCUUUCUGAAUUCUCUUGACUCACAGUGGACCUUUUUUUCCCUUAGAAAUCAAGUGUAGUUUUCCAACCACUGUAUUAUCUAUUUCAUAGCUGGGGAAACUGCUGAACCUCAGCAAAAUAAAUUGGUGACAGAAGCAAGAACUAAAAAUGAGAUCUCUCUCUGGGCCUCAUAUGCUAUUACAGCAUACAUUGCCUUGAAAACAUUUUUGGUAGCAAUAAAAGUAAAAUGAUUUUGGUGAAAAUGAGUCUAUACUGGAAAAUCAGGUUGAAUUCCCUUUGUUUAUAAGUGUCCUUAGGGAUAUGACCAAGACAAAUUAUUUCCUAUACAGUGAGGAAGGAAACAGAAGUCUAACAUACACUAAUCAAAAUGCUAUCUUCUUAUGUACCAAAUUCCAAUAUUAGAAUAUUAAGACUUUAAUGCCAGUGGCACGACUAUCAUUUUGGUAUUGACUGAUUUGUUUAAUCAACCAAUCUUUAUUUGGUGUCUAUUAUGGGUUACAAACUAUGCGAUAUCCUAAAAAUAACUACAAAUUAAGGGCUUAAUGCUUAGGUAUUUACUUUUUAAAAAAAUGUUAAGUAUUUGCUUUUUUUCUUUUUUAAUAUCUGUGCAGAAGGAGCACUGGGCUGUGACUCAGGAGAUCUGGGUUGUUUUCCGGCGGAUACAUUAUUCCUUUCUCAAGUGCGGACAAUGACGUCUGCCCUUGCUCCCCUGGGAAGGCCCCCUGGCAGGGUGAGAUGGGUGCUGAAACUGAGUGGCAAGAAAGAGCCAGCCAAUUAAGAGCUUUCCAGGGAAUGGGAAGAAACAGUCAAAAGGUUGGUCAGACUAGUGAGCCAGGGGAGCAGAGAAAACACUUGGGAAUGGAGGCGCAGUGUGGAGGAAGAGCUUCCACAGCAAUGUUUAAGAAAGCAAACGAGUAAAGCAGGGACACAGUUUUAUCUUUAAAACCUCGAACACUGCUAGGCACACAGUGUAUGCUGGAUCAGGAUUUGCUGAAUGAAUGACUGAAUGAACUGAAGGGCAUAACCCAGAAUUAAUACAAUGUCACUGAUUUUUUAGAAGAAUCAUACCGUCUGUUGGGCAGAGAAUGGACUGAAGGGAGGUGGACAGGAAGGAAACAAGGGGACUGAGUAGGAGCCGUGCAAGAAUUUGGGCAGGAAAUGACGGCAGGCUGGCCUGGGGCGGUGGUUGCAGACAGGAUGACACUCGAUGCGUCGCAUACGAAGUGAUUAGUGGCAGAAAGGACUCCUGAGGAAUUCUUGGGUUUUGUCUUAAUCUCCUGGAAGAUGGCAGCGCUUCUGACAGAUGUAGCCAGUAUUGGGCUUGGGUGAGGUACCAAGCAGGGAGGGUUUAGGACUGACCCUGGAGGGCUGUGACUUUAAAAGGUGAGUGUAGAAGAGCCAGCCAGGGGAGUGUGCUGUGGAGGAGCCAGGAAUGGAGACGGUCUGAAGUUGAAGGUAGGCGUCAACCAUGACACACUCUGCAAGUGGUCAAGGUGAAAAGGAGGUGACCAGAUCUGGCAAUGUGGAGGUGACCGGUCACUGUGAGGACAGCAGGCCUGGUGGAGCGGUGGGGAUGCGAUCCCAACUGCAGGAGGCCAAGCAGAGGGUGGAAGGUGGCAAGCUGGAAAGAAUAACUCUAAAAAAUUCUUUGAAGGAGCUCUGCUAUGUAUGGGAAUAGAGCAAUUGGACUGUAGCUAAAUGGGAUGUGGGAUCAAGAGGGUGAUUGUUUCGGUGUGUUUUGUUUUUAAAGAUGAGGAAAUCAUGAAAUGCUUGCUAGGUGACCUAGUCGGAGAGUGGGGAGGAGGAACGGCUAGUACAGGAGAGAGAGGUAAGAAUUAACAGGAACAACAACCUAGUAAAGGUGAGGGGGUUAGACUCAGGGGAGAGGUGGCUCCUCAGCUGGGCAAAGAAAUUUAACCCACCAAGUCCGGAUGGAAGGCUGCCAAUGUGGGCACAGGCACAGGUGGGCUGGCACUUGGUGCAAAGGUGAGAGGGUUCUGGUUUCUUCUGUUUUCAACAGAGUGUGAAGCAAGGGUGUUGCAUGAGUAAGGGGAGGGAAGGAGUGUUGGGGGUUUAGAAAUAGAAAGCAUGGAAUCAUCAUUUACAGAGUGGGAGAAUAAAAUUGUAGGAAAUAUAGGAUUACUGGGCUGGGUUGAGAGUCCAUUUCAUAUGGUUGCGAGACUUUUGGUGGCAUGACACGUAGUCCCAUAUAUGGUGGGGGACAAGGUCAGUGUCAUAAGCUUGAGAGAGGAGGCAAAGGAAGAAGGAGAUGGUUCUCUCUUUAAGAUUUGUGAUGACUACAAGGAACAAUCAGCCAAAAGUCUGCGAGAAUCAAGCUUUACAGGCAAAAUGACCUUACGGAUACCAAUGACCCCAAAACGUUUUGGAGUGAGAGAUACACGUGAACCAGCAAACCAUCUCUCCAAGGAGGAUGAGGAAGAUGCUUCGGGUCGAUGAAGGGAAGGAGACAAAUGGAAAGGUAAGAAGUGGGCAAGGGCAGGAGCCCCAUACAGCAGACUGGUGGGAGUAGGGGAAAGACAGUGAGGUGGGAAAAGCAAUCAGGGGCAGGAAGGAGGAAACCUCAGGAGCCGAACCCCAUCUUGGUUUCAUGCCAGUGCAGUCGCUCAGCCAGAAAGGCUGGCUGGGGUCACUGGGCUCCCAUCACCAACGUCCAAGCUCUGCUUCUGCCGAAGUGGCUCCCAGGCUCCUUGCCUCUCCCUGAAUUCUGCAUAUGCCCAUCAAAGGGCCUCGCUGUGUCUCCAGCUAACUCUCCCUUUGCAGUGUUGGAAGACCUCUGGAAAAAACAGUUCCUCAACUUGUAUUUUCAGCCCACCUAAUUAAUUCCUAAGAAAACCUGAUUUGGGCAAAACUCUGGUGUUCCCACUUUUCCUCACUUGGAGCUGUCUUUCUGCUUUUGAAAGACAC